CCUACGGGAGGCAGCAGUGGGGAAUUUUGGACAAUGGACGCAAGUCUGAUCCAGCCAUGCCGCGUGCGGGAAGAAGGCCUUCGGGUUGUAAACCGCUUUUGUCAGGGAAGAAAAGGUUCUGGUUAAUACCUGGGACUCAUGACGGUACCUGAAGAAUAAGCACCGGCUAACUACGUGCCAGCAGCCGCGGUAAUACGUAGGGUGCAAGCGUUAAUCGGAAUUACUGGGCGUAAAGCGUGCGCAGGCGGUUAUGCAAGACAGAGGUGAAAUCCCCGGGCUCAACCUGGGAACUGCCUUUGUGACCGCAUAGCUAGAGUACGGUAGAGGGGGAUGGAAUUCCGCGUGUAGCAGUGAAAUGCGUAGAUAUGCGGAGGAACACCGAUGGCGAAGGCAAUCCCCUGGACCUGUACUGACGCUCAUGCACGAAAGCGUGGGGAGCAAACAGGAUUAGAUACCCUGGUAGUCCACGCCCUAAACGAUGUCAACUGGUUGUUGGGAGGGUUUCUUCUCAGUAACGUAGCUAACGCGUGAAGUUGACCGCCUGGGGAGUACGGCCGCAAGGUUGAAAACUCAAAGGAAUUGACGG
rnacentral:rRNA from 1 species